CCGAGUAUAGGGGCUUGUCUUUUAGACGCUCCCAACUCCCACCCCGUGUUUACAUACCUCUGUUGCCUCGGCGGGCCCGCCCAGGGACUCUCGAGUCCUUGACAUCCGGCCUUUGCGUUGGACAGCGCCCGCCAGAGGACCAACCAAACUCGUCUUUUACCGGCAGUCUGAGUAACAAACAAAAUAAGUUA
rnacentral:misc_RNA from 1 species